UAGCAGCCUUAGGGAGUGAGCGCAUCAUCUGUCUGCAAUGAAGGGAGCAUGCCUAUGCACCAGUGGACCUGACACAAUCUAAAGAUGACACCACCUCCCUCUGCCAUCCCCUCCAAGGAAUUUGCCCCCAAGAGAGCUGCUCUUGGAGUUAAGUUACUCAGAAUAAACCUCAAGAAUGAAGUCAAAGGGACCGGGUCUGUCACAACCAGGUGGUGCAGUGAAAGAGGUGAUAAUAAGGCUUUCGAGUUUCUUUGUGACAAACAUCUUAGAGGAAGAGUGAGGAAAAUAAUAAAGAAGGAUUCUUCCUUCCUUUGAUCAGGUUCCAGUGUCAUGACAGUU